rnacentral:rRNA from 1 species
CCUACGGGAGGCAGCAGUGGGGAAUAUUGGACAAUGGGGGCAACCCUGAUCCAGCCAUGCCGCGUGUGUGAAGAAGGCCCUCGGGUUGUAAAGCACUUUCAGUGAGGAAGAACGCCUGGUGGUUAAUACCCAUCAGGAAAGACAUCACUCACAGAAGAAGCACCGGCUAUCUCCGUGCCAGCAGCCGCGGUAAUACGGAGGGUGCGAGCGUUAAUCGGAAUUACUGGGCGUAAAGCGCGCGUAGGUGGCUUGAUAAGCCGGUUGUGAAAGCCCCGGGCUCAACCUGGGAACGGCAUCCGGAACUGUCAAGCUAGAGUGCAGGAGAGGAAGGUAGAAUUCCCGGUGUAGCGGUGAAAUGCGUAGAGAUCGGGAGGAAUACCAGUGGCGAAGGCGGCCUUCUGGACUGACACUGACACUGAGGUGCGAAAGCGUGGGUAGCAAACAGGAUUAGAUACCCCAGUAGUC